UACGGAGGAUGCGAGCGUUAUCCGGAUUUAUUGGGUUUAAAGGGUGCGUAGGCGGCUUUUUAAGUCAGCGGUGAAAUUUUGCAGCUUAACUGUAACAGUGCCGUUGAUACUGGGGAGCUAGGAUUUGGUUGCUGUGGGUGGAAUGUGUGGUGUAGCGGUGAAAUGCUUAGAGAUCACACAGAAUAUCGAUUGCGAAGGCAGCUCACAAAGCCAAGAUUGACGCUGAGGCACGAAAGUGUGGAGAUCAAACAGGA
rnacentral:rRNA from 1 species